CACAUUUGGUAAAAAAAAAUUAAAUACCUUAGGUUUUAUAAACUAAUUUGAUACCAUACCACAAAAGCUUUUGCUAUUAUUGGUAGCCCAUAUUUUAUAUAUUUAUAUGAAAAAUAUAUAAAAAUGCGAGUCACAAAAAUGACAGAGCGUAGGGGAUGAAAGAACGCCAUGGAAAGGACAGACUUGAGAUAUAGAAAAAUGGCCAGCGAAUGAAUCACUUUAAUUAAAUGGCAUCCGGAUAUGCUGCCCAGCCAGUGGACGUACAUAUGAGCCCUGCAAUUAGUCCGGUGUCCAAGUCGGACUCGUUUUGAUUAAUACGCGCCCCCGCUGACUUGGGUCGACUUUUCUUUCGUCAUGCCUUCGCUGCUCCUGGGUUUUUCCUGGUUUUUCCUUCAUUUCGCUGCCACGAAGGGAAAACAAAUUUGCCUUCAUUCAGCAUUUCAACAUUUGACGUAUGCCGGGGAUCUCGAAUUAAAGCUGCUCAGAUUUCGCAGCAAGUGGCUCCUGCCCACUUGUCCACUUGCCCACUUGCCCACUUGCUCCACUUGCUCCACUCCAACGUGCGCCCCAGCUGCCAGUGGCUUUUGUCUCUGAGCCGCUUUUGUUUGUUGUGUAAUCUAUGCGCUCCAUGGCACAGCUGUUUGUACACCCGCUGCCACCGCUGCCCCGAAAAACAGGGCAAGAAAAAUGCCAACAAUUAAGUGGCCAAGAGCGCCGCAAUGUAGGCAAUGCAUUAAUUUAAUUAAAAGCGCUCGCCGGCGGCGGCGAAAUUUGAAAAUUGUGUAAAUUCAACGUAUUUAGAAAACACUCGAGAGCGUUUAGUGCUCGAGGUGCUAAGCCCACACUAUAUCUACUAUGUACAUAUAUUUGUGAGUAUAUGUAACCCUGGAGGCCCCCGAUUCCACGCCUCUGGCCAAGACAAAGGUCAGUAGCCUCAUCAGCAGGCCUCUCUUCCGGGGCUCUCUUACCCGGAUUUCGCUCUCUUGCAAAGCUCCGAUAUGCAAGCGGUGGCUAAUUAAAUGCAGCAUCCCAAAAAGCCGAGCGCUUGCCGAGCGUUUUUUGUUUACAUUUCCCCGCCGAACUUUCCACUCUCGCCCUGCGCACUGCGCUCUCCCAGCUUUUGUCCCAAAAAGAUACGGAGUACAUUCGGCUCACGAAGCGGAGACCUCGUCGGAAUCGUGCAUCUGGUGGAUACGCAGCAGCAGCAGCAUCCCACGGAUUCAUUUCGCUGCAGAACUCGCUCGUGUCAGGUUGCCUGAGCGGCUGAAACGGUGGAUUAAGAAAAGGGCCAGUUGGCCAGAGGUUGGCCCAUCUCAGUCGCCAAGUCCAAGCUCCCAAGCUGCCAAGCUCCCAAUCAAUAUCCCAGUGAGCAACAGCCGGCGGCCAGGCUUUAAGUUGAGCGAUGAUGACAGCUGCGGUGGCGACCACUUAAAGUCGCCGGCGGCCAAAAACACCGGAAGCAGCUAAGCGGAAAUUGGAAAAACCCCCUCAUCGAGCUGCAAAUGUUCCGUCUGGCAUUUGUGCGGCACACACAGUUGUUCGUCGUCAGCGGUGGUGAACGGAGCGGAGCGGAGCGGAGCGGAGCGGUUCGGAAUGAAACGGGGUAUUUGGGUGAAGGCCAAAGGAUGUGACCACCCCCCCCUCACUGAAUCAUCAGCGUCCACCCAUCACUCAGCCCGAAUGUGAAAGUAAAGCAAAUUGGAAGCCGUAUGCGGAUAGUUUGGCUGCGAGAAAGACCUAUCAAUUAGGCCAUAUAACUGCCCUCAAUCGCGUGAAAUGUCGAGUCAACCCAACCAGCUACUUCAGCCUUCAGUCGCCCCCUCGAUAAAGCAAACUAUCCAGCAAAUUAAGCGAUCCGCGUCUGUUAAUUGAAGUGCCUGGAAGGCAAACAGAUCGACGCACUGGAACUGGGGAUUGGAAUUUCAUUCGGCCAACUCCAUUGAACUUCAUGUUGGGCCAAAAGUUGCCCGGGAAAACCAAACCAUCACAAAGCCAAACCGCAAUAGAGCAAAAUUGCCAAAGGGAAGCGAGGCGACGGGGGUCACAAGCCAUUCAAAAUGCAAAAUGGCAAGCGUAAAAUUGUUUCAAUAUUCAUAACGUUGGCGCUAAAUGCUCGAUUUUCCAUGGCCAUAGUGGGGCCAAAGUAAGAACUCCGAAACGGAAGCGCAUAAAAACUCAGUAUUCGAUGUCACAGGCCCAUGAAUGUUGACACCCUGGAUUCUGGAUCCUGGAUGCUGGCUGCUGGAUCCUAGACCCUGGAUGCCCUCUUCCCCUCACGUUGGUCAACAUUUUGGGAAAUUUAAAGCACCUGUGCUGGGUUGUGGCAGCCGCAGCAGCAGCAGCAGGGCUGAUAACGCAGUAGGUGCUGCACCAACACGACACGUCCUGCGUGUCCUGGCCAUUGGCGAUAGCAGGCCGUAUCCUCGACCCGGAGUGCCCCAAACCAGGCCAAUUCCCAUUAUUGGUUAGCCAGAGCGACAGCCGCACGGCCCAGAUGCAAACAAUGGCCCCCUUUUCAGGAUUCCUGGCCAUAUCCUGUGCCCACACACUAACACACACAAACAUAUUCAGACACAUACACACACUGUUACAAAGGGAGCGGAUAAAAGCCGAUAAGCGACAUUUAUGCGCCCAAAAACUCGCCCAGGAAUAGGAUAACCCACUCUCGAGCACCUCCUGUCCCCGUUUACACUUCGUGUAAGUUUCGGCACUAAGCUAAAAUUGAAUAUUUUUAGCCAAUUUUAGGUUGAGGCGCUAAUUGAAAAGGACACACACAUGGACAGGACUUAGACGGUGCAGCUGGGAAAACGCUUUAACUUCCGGCGGAAGAAGAUGGGGAGCUACUAGAGCAGCUCCUUGCUCCUUGCCAUGCAUCAGCAUCCUUGGCCAUGCAUCAGCGAGCUGUGAGCAUGUUUGCGCCGAAGAUUAAAAGCAUGUGUCCGGUUUUAUGUGCCACGCCCCCCACGUCUGGCAGAACGGGGGCCGCUGGGCGGAAUUUAUAACCGUAAAAGUGCAACAGUGAAAAAAGCAACGAGGCAGGACGAAGGGGCAUGGAGCCAAACCAGCUGGCUGGUUUAUGCUACAUGGCAACGUUUUACGGGGCAGAGAGAUAAGUCCUCUGGCAUCCUUUUUGGCAUGGCAUGGCGUGGCGAGGAUGGCAUGGCAUGGCAUGGCAGCAGGAUCUGCAGGAGUUGCUGCGCGUUUUGUUGCAUAGUUUUGAUUUAUUGCAGAGCAGAGGAGCACAGAGAAGCGCAGGGCAAAGGAGAGCAGAGCAGAGUAGAGCAGAGCAACAACGACUACAGCGAAUUCCAUUUGAAAAUUCAUAACGUGCAGCAGCGAGACAGGACAUCCCAGCGAACGUGAAUGGCAUGGAAGGUGGGAAAUGGAGCCAUGGUUCCACAUCCACAUCCACUUCCACAUCCACCCAGGAACCCAGUUUAUAUCCGCAAUAUCAGGGCAUUAUAUUACCAGAGACAGGCCAUGACUGGAACUGGGACUUGGUUUCGGAUUCGGAUGUGGAUGCGGAUGCGGAUACAGAGCUAAUUUUAAAUGCCUUGCUUGGCAUUUGGCCUGAAUGUGAUUUGGCAAAACUACCUAUGAACCAAGGACUCGACCUAAAACCACUGCCACUUGAAAUCCACGAAACACGAAACGGAAAACUCUGGAGAGGACUCCUCGAACGAACUGGCGAGUUAAUCAAUUAGCAAGUUUGCCACUAAAAUCGUUUGAAAAAUAUUCUAAAGGCGGCAAAGGGUUUUUCAGUUUUGGUUUUGUGUUUUUUAUUUUUUUUUUUUGUGGUCGAGAGAGCCUCUUCUGGAGCUCCGUUGAUUGUUGAAUUAUUUAUACGGACCGCAUCUACAUACAUUUCGGUGUGUGCUCGGCUGAUUUAUAUAUACAUAUGCGUCAUGCAAAUGAAUUAUGCACAUGAGUUGGCAGCCAGCAGCCAAGAGCUUCUCUUCAGUUUUAGUUUUUGGCUUUUCAUUUGCUCCUCCGCCAGCUGUUGUUCAACACCUUCCACCGAAAAGCCAUGAGAAGCGUUUUGUCAGCCAUUCAGGCAUUUAGCCGUUUUGGUGGGUAGCUUUUUACAGCUGCCGAUUGAUUGCGUGAUUGAUUGAUGCGCGUAAUCGAUACGUGGGUAAGUAUCCUUGUAAAAAAGUGUGCAAAUCAGUGGAUAUACGAGUAGUUAACUGGGCUGACCCGAGUGUUGGCCGGUGCAUUCGUACCCUUAUCAUUCUCUCGCCCCGUGUGCAUUGAAGACAACUGGACGGAGAACUGAUAAGGGCUCGUAUCACCAAUUCAUCAAGCAAUCCCCAUUGAAUGUGCAAGAAUUCGGCGAGUCACAGAAGAGUUAAUGCACUAAAGUGCACUAAAGCGUGAAUAGAAAAAAAACUGGAGGAAUCUGCAAUCUGGAAUCUAGUAUGAGGAAUCCGUAUCCGUAUCCAAUGCGAUGCCGUGUAUAUCCGCAUUCCCAUGUGGCUGCUCGGUGUGCGAAAUCAUUUUCAAAUUAGCAGCUAACGUUGCACAAAAAUCAGCCAACUGCUGUUGGUUUCGUUCCUUCUGCAAGAGUAAAUUGCAAAUUGAACGUGCGCAAAGCUGAAAUUAAAUUGUUGAUAGUACGUACCGCAUUCCCCCGCAUUUCGGUGUCCUUCGUCUAUGUUUGUAAUAUAAUUUCAUCAAGCGGCGAUAUUUAAACAUUUACAUUGCGUUUUGUGGUUGCGGAAUUAAUUAAUUGCUCUUUGCCAUGCAAUACCAAAAGUAUUUACCGAAAUUCAAUAUUGUCAUCGCGAUGAAUUCGUUGAUCUAUUUAUUUCCCUCGGGUAAACAUAACUGAGAAGGCGCUGUAUUCAUGCUAAUGCAAUUAUCGACAUUUUACUGGAUUCUUUGGGGAGUUGUUUUUACGCGCCUUUUUUUAAUAACUAAAAUAACUGCCCACAGCGGUCAGCAGAGUUUAUCUGCAAUUAUCUAAUAAAUUUAUUAUUUUUAAAAACCAAACAUUUGUAGUGGCUUUGCGGAAUAUUUAAUCUUGUGUUUAAAUGUUUGCCAAUCAAGCAUUUAACCUUUUAAUGACAUUUUUCUGGUUUCCUGUAUUUAACUAUGGCUCUCCAUGAAGCAAUUAAUGCUGCAUAUGUCGUCUUGUUAAACUUUUAUUUCUUAAUUUGAUAGCAUUAAACCACAUAAUAUAAAGUUUGUGAUCUAAUAAAUUUCAGCAAUCGAAAGAGUAAUCAAGUAAUUAGUGGAAUUUGCAGUCGAAUUGAAAUAGUAUUGAACCAGCUGUUGUUACUUUUAUAAUUUUAUUUCACUUUGCAAUCGAAAUGACAUAGUAUUGAUCAAGUUGUUUGUUACUACUAUAAUUUUAAUUCAUGGUUAAAAAUGUUUUUUGCUUUUCGUAUUUUCCUAUUAAAUGUCCAAUUCAUCGACCUCAUUAUCAAUAUAACUUGACCAUUUAAGAUCAAUAAUUGUUUUUACAUAAACAGUUGCUAGUUCUUAGCCAAAUGAGCCAAUUGAUGAUGCUGCGAUGAGCUGAGAAGCCCCAUAAUGAAUUUCAAUAAAAGUGACACAGCGAACUGUCGCUCUGCGUGGAGAAGGUCGUUGACAAGUCCUUUUUGCUGUGUUUUUGGUCACCUCCUGGCGGGUAAUUAAGUUCCUCUCAGCGGGUCCUGCCACAUUCCUUGUGCGGUUAAUCUAUCAGCGAGUGGCAGAUACCCCUACUCCCAGAUCCCAGUUUCCAGCAUCCAGCUCCACUGCCAGUUUCCCGCCUCCAGCAUACCAGCACUACGCACACAUAUCGCUCUCGCUUUAAUUAUCAACAAUGAGCUGGGACCAAUAACUGUGCGCAAUUCCCCGCGGUGACAUUGCAGACGCUUUAAUAAACAAACCAUCGGCACUUAAGGAAUGAGCAAAAUACACAUUAAAUGUCCGGGGCCCCAGAAAGAAUGGAGCAUAAGUACAAUGAGCCGGAGAAGCCAUCAGCCGAAAACGAGAGCCAACAACAGAACCAGAACCAGAACCAGAACAAGGACGGCAAUCAGCGAGGGCAGCUGGAAUUAUGGCACAGAGCAGCGAAUAAGGACGUAUCAAGAAUCAGAAAUCAGGAAUCAGGGUCCAAGGACUAAGGAGCGAGGAGCGAGGACCAAGGAACUGCCGGCAAGGGGGCGAAAAAACAAUCCAACAUUCAUUUAUUAUUUAAUACGAAAACGCAAUUCGUGCAUUCACCUGGAAACCAUCAACAAACGUCACCAGCGGGAAUACUUCUGCUCCACACACACACACAAACACACUUACACGCAUACAUGCGAAUCCGGGAGGAUUGCCCGCUCACACAGAUACACGGAUACUCGAGCAGAUACAGAUACACACGGCAAAUAGUUGGCAAGUUCGAGUGGCUGUAGCCUGAAGGCGCAGGACGAAGGAUGAAGGACGCAGGACGCAACCUACGCAGCCAAGCAUAACGGUAAACCAAGCUGACGUUCACUGGCAAGGCGAUAAAGCAGCGACACACACACACACACUCGGGGCACACACACCAGCGCAGCAGAACACCAUCACAAUCACAAUCACACGGGAGCAAAAGUCUCAGACGGACGGACACACACAAAUGAAAUUCAAGCAAAUUGAAAUUUUAUUUCAGCAAAUGUCUUGCCCUUUACGCUCUGCGGCUGUCUACCUCCAUAGAGUACAGUCAGAGAAAAACAUGAAACCCGCAGAAUUGGAAACAAAUUGUCUAGCAUUUAAAAUAGUUCAUGUCUUUGAAUUGUUAUGUACCAUUACCCUAAAUCUUUUAGAUAAAUAAAGUGAGUCAAAUAUGGCAGAAAAGC